rnacentral:rRNA from 1 species
UACGUAGGGGGCGAGCGUUGUCCGGAGUUACUGGGCGUAAAGGGCACGCAGGCGGUGCGGCGCGUUUCGCGUGACAGCGGAGGGCUUAACUCUCCGAGGAUGCGAAAGACGGCGGCACUUGAGGGCCAGAGAGGGACACGGAAUUCCUGGUGUAGCGGUGAAAUGCGCAGAUAUCAGGAGGAACACCGGUGGCGAAGGCGGGUCUCUGGGCCGUAACUGACGCUGAGGAGCGAAAGCGUGGGGAGCGAACAGG